rnacentral:rRNA from 1 species
UACGUAGGGGGCAAGCGUUGUCCGGAAUUAUUGGGCGUAAAGCGCGCGCAGGCGGUCUUUUAAGUCUGAUGUGAAAUCUUGCGGCUCAACCGCAAGCGGCCAUUGGAAACUGGGAGGCUUGAGUACAGAAGAGGAGAGUGGAAUUCCACGUGUAGCGGUGAAAUGCGUAGAUAUGUGGAGGAACACCAGUGGCGAAGGCGACUCUCUGGUCUGUAACUGACGCUGAGGCGCGAAAGCGUGGGGAGCAAACAGG